rnacentral:tRNA from 1 species
GUCCCUGUGGUGUAGUGGUUAGCACGUUCGUCUAGCACACGGGAAAUAUCAGGUUCAAUUCCUUAUCGGGAAA